rnacentral:rRNA from 1 species
AUGAUGGGUUCACGAGGUACCAGUGCUGUGCUCUCGAGAGCUGCACGGAUGAGGCAAAAGCUGCAGUCUUCUUUGGAGGCGAGUGCACUAGACAUCGAAGAUGUUUCUUACCAACAUGCUGGGCAUGCGGCUGUCAAGGACAAUGCAAAUGAGACGCAUUUUAACAUCAAGGUAAUUUCGCCGAAGUUUGAAGGGCAGAGCCUUGUGAAGCGUCAUAGGAUGGUGUAUGAUCUCUUGACCGAUGAGUUGAACUCGGGUCUUCAUGCUAUCUCCAUUGUUGCGAAAACUCCAACAGAGUCGGGAUCAUGA